rnacentral:rRNA from 1 species
GACGAACGCUGGCGGCGUGCUUAACACAUGCAAGUCGAACGAAGUGGCGAACGGGUGAGUAACGCGUAAUCAACCUGCCCUUCAGAGGGGGACAACAGUUGGAAACGACUGCUAAUACCGCAUACUGAAGGAGGGGAUUGCGUCUGAUUAGCUAGUUGGAGGGGUAACGGCCCACCAAGGCGAUGAUCAGUAGCCGGGCUGAGGGGGUGGAAGGCCACAUUGGGACUGGGAAAACGGCCCGAGCUCCACGGGAGGGAGGCGUGGGGAAAUCUUCGGCAUGGACGAAAGUCGUACGGAGCCACGGCGGGGGAGGUGUGGCGGCCCUUCGGGUUGAAAGCUUUGGUAAUUGGGAAGCGGUAACGGAAUAGAAAGCCACGGCUAACUACGUGCCAGCAGCCGCGGUAAUUC